AUUGAACGCUGGCGGCAUGCCUUACACAUGCAAGUCGAACGGUAACGCGGGGCAACCUGGCGACGAGUGGCGAACGGGUGAGUAAUAUAUCGGAACGUGCCCAGUAGUGGGGGAUAGCCCGGCGAAAGCCGGAUUAAUACCGCAUGAGACCUGAGGGUGAAAGCGGGGGAUCGCAAGACCUCGCGCUAUUGGAGCGGCCGAUAUCAGAUUAGCUAAUUGGUGGGGUAAAGGCCUACCAAGGCAACGAUCUGUAGUUGGUCUGAGAGGACGACCAGCCACACUGGGACUGAGACACGGCCCAGACUCCUACGGGAGGCAGCAGUGGGGAAUUUUGGACAAUGGGCGCAAGCCUGAUCCAGCAAUGCCGCGUGCAGGAAGAAGGCCUUCGGGUUGUAAACUGCUUUUGUCAGGGAAGAAAUCUUCUGGGUUAAUACCUCGGGAGGAUGACGGUACCUGAAGAAUAAGCACCGGCUAACUACGUGCCAGCCGCCGCGGUAAAAC
rnacentral:rRNA from 1 species